rnacentral:rRNA from 1 species
GCGUCCCAUUAGCUAGUUGGCGGCGUAAUGGCCCACCAAGGCGACGAUGGGUAGCCGACCUGAGAGGGUGAUCGGCCACACUGGGACUGGAACACGGCCCAGACUCCUACGGGAGGCAGCAGUGAGGAAUAUUGCGCAAUGGGCGAAAGCCUGACGCAGCGACGCCGCGUGAGCGAUGAAGGCCUUCGGGUCGUAAACCUCUGUCAGGAGGGAAGAACCGCCAUGGUGCUAAUCAGCCAUGGUCUGACGGUACCUCCAAAGGAAGCACCGGCUAACUCCGUGCCAGCAGCCGCGGUAAUACGGUAGGUGUGCAAGCGUUAAUCGGAAUCACUGGGCGUAAAGCGCACGUAGGCUGUCUGGUAAGUCAGGGGUGAUAUCCCGCGGCUCAACCGCGGAAUUGCCCUUGAUACU